GGGGUGGGGAUAGGUUGGAAGAAGAGAGAGGAGGGUUGAGGGCGUGGUGGGGCUAGGGGUCAAGGGAGUGGAAGAAGAGAGAGGGUGAGUGCGGAGCGUGGCGUAGCGUGGCUGGGGGAUUAGGAGGAGUGGGAGAAAGUGGCAGCUACGGUCGGCGGUCGAGACACGUCUGGCCGGUGGGCGGUGGCUGGCCGGAGGGGGAGCGCGUGGAUGGGGGGGAUUGUAGGGCGUCGCGGGGCGGGGUGGCGCGGGGCUGAGGGAGGGACUGGGCGGCAGCGGGAGCUGCGGUCGGUCGUACCGGCGGAGGAAGGGGGUGGCGGGGUCGGGGCCUAGGCCGCUCCUAGGUGGUCCACCACGGAGNNNNNNNNNNNNNCCUACAGAGACCUAGAAUGCCCUCCCCUAGGCGCGCGCGGGUAGGAGAAUGGGGGGGUAAGAGGGCGAAACUAAGGCCGCACCUAGGCACUGAAGAGGCGGGGGGUCCACCUGAGUUCCAGCUCGGGGCAGGACGCUGCGGGGCGACGGCACCGCUCUGGGUAGGACGGCGGCGUUGCGACGGGGUGGAGGAGGGGAAGAAGCGGGUCUAGGUUUUCCCGUGUACCACGUCGGGGGCAGAGGAGACGGGACCUAGGUACCUCGGGCAACACAGUGCUCUCCGGGGGAGAGGAGACAGCGCUCGAGCCCGGUUGGUAAUGAGUCGGUGUGCGGCCACGGAAGGAGGAGGUUCCUGGGCUACGGCCGCGGUCCAUGUAGGAAGGAAAGAGCUAAAAUGAAUGAAGGGGAGCGGGGGACUGGAGACUACGUUCAAGGCCGGUGUCCUCCGUGGCCGCGCGCUCCCCGUCAUCACACGGACACGAGUUGGAGGUGUUUUUGCGUUCUAUGGUCGCUAGGGUCCUCGCGCGCUACUACAAGUUGCCGCCGAUCCUGCGGGUACGUCAAGUCUUUCCCUAUUCAACAAAAAAACAACCUAAAACCUACCUCUAGACUACGGAGCACGCCAGGUUGACAUCACGCGUAGCGGCCACUCCGACGUCGAGCACGUCACGUCUAGUCACGCCGCACGCCAAAGGCACACGUCACGCAAAACGAAAAAACGAAAAGGAAAACCUAAAACCUACACGUCUUGUCAACGUCGAGUAAAACUUAAAAAACUUCGAGUGAUUAAAACAAAACGUCAAGUGGGUAGGAGGAUGGGCGGAGAGGAUCGGCGGUCACACACCCUGCUGCGACCUACCCCCGGCCGCGUAGGCACGCCCGCACGUCAAACGGCCGCACCGUGCACACCAUGUGACCAAGGCCAAUACGACAAGUGGCCGCAUGAGGGGAUAGGUUGUCUCUCACUGUCAAGGCAAAGCGCUACUACAGAAACAAACGUCAAGAGAUCUACACACAACGUCACGUGACUUAUUUUCCAAAACAUACCUGUACAAACGAUGUCAAACAGUGAGCCUGCCCCUAGAGUGUACGUCAUGUGAACCCACCGCAACCCUAAGGUCCUAAACGUCUUUUUACACCAAGCUCACCCGCCCGCCCGCACGUCGAGUGAUCCGAGAUGGAGCGUCGAGCAAACCGAGACCGACCCAGUUACCUUGACCUGGGUCUUGGAUCCUUAAACUAAGGUAAAAACAAACUCCUCAAAAAUACAUUUGAACCUGUUAUUUAAACACAUUGAUAUUUUUUCUUGUAACGUCAAGAGAGCUGAGGUGGCACGUCAUGCCAACUGAACAAACUUUUCAAACUGCCAAAAGAAAUCUACGUCAGGUAACCACGUGACGAACGCCGAGCGC
rnacentral:rRNA from 1 species